ACAACAUUCGGGUCGUCGAGUCUACUGAGCAACAUCACCGGCUCGUUGGAAGAUCUUUCCUUCGUCGU
rnacentral:pre_miRNA from 1 species